GGGGCAGCUGAUGCAGCACGCCGCGUGCGGGAAGACAGCCCUAGGGUUGUAAACCGCUUUCAGUAGGGAAGAAAAUGACGGUACCUACAGAAGAAGGUGCGGCCAACUACGUGCCAGCAGCCGCGGUGACACGUAGGCACCAAGCGUUAUCCGGAUUUAUUGGGCGUAAAGAGCUCGUAGGCGGUUUGGUAAGUCGGGUGUGAAAACUCAGGGCUUAACCCUGAGACGCCACCCGAUACUGCCAUGACUUGAGUACGGUAGGGGAGCGGGGAACUCCUGGUGUAGCGGUGAAAUGCGCAGAUAUCAGGAAGAACACCGGUGGCGAAGGCGCCGCUCUGGGCCGUAACUGACGCUGAGGAGCGAAAGCGUGGGUAGCAAACAGGAUUAGAUACCCUGGUAGUCCACGCCGUAAACGUUGGGCACUAGGUGUGGGUCUCAACUAACGAGAUCCGCGCCGUAGCUAACGCAUUAAGUGCCCCGCCUGGGGAGUACGGUCGCAAGACUAAAACUCAAAGAAAAUUUGAACGGA
rnacentral:rRNA from 1 species